AUUGAACGCUGGCGGCAGGCCUAACACAUGCAAGUCGAGCGAGCGGCGGACGGGUGAGUAAUGUCUGGGAAACUGCCUGAUGGAGGGGGAUAACUACUGGAAACGGUAGCUAAUACCGCAUACCCUCAGAUGUGCCCAGUUGGGAUUAGCUAGUAGGUGGGGUAACGGCUCACCUAGGCGACGAUCCCUAGCUGGGCUGAGAGGAUGACCAGCCACAAUGGAACUGAGACACGGGCCAGACUCCUACGGGAGGCAGCAGUGGGGAAUAUGGCACAAUGGGCGCAAGCCUGAUGCAGCAAUGCCGCGUGUGUGAAGAAGGCCUUAGGGUUGUAAAGCACUUUCAGCGGGGAGGCGUUACCCGCAGAAGAAGCACCGGCUAACUCCGUGCCAGCAGCCGCGGUAAUAC
rnacentral:rRNA from 1 species